rnacentral:rRNA from 1 species
AUUGAACGCUGGCGGCAUGCUUUACACAUGCAAGUCGAACGGUAACAGGGUGCUUGCACCGCUGACGAGUGGCGAACGGGUGAGUAAUGGGUCGGAACGUGCCGAGUAGUGGGGGAUAACGCAGCGAAAGUUGUGCUAAUACCGCAUACGUACUGAGGUAGAAAGUGGGGGACCUUCGGGCCUCACGCUAUUCGAGCGGCCGACGUCUGAUUAGCUAGUAGGUGAGGUAAAGGCUCACCUAGGCGACGAUCAGUAGCGGGUCUGGGAGGAUGAUCCGCCACACGGGGACUGAGACACGGCCCAGACUCCUACGGGAGGCAGCAGUGGGGAAUUUUGGACAAUGGGCGAAAGCCUGAUCCAGCCAUGCCGCGUGUCUGAAGAAGGCCUUCGGGUUGUAAAGGACUUUUGUCAGGGAGGAAAUCCCUAGUGCUAAUAACACUGGGGGAUGACAGUACCUGAAGAAUAAGCACCGGCUAACUACGUGCCAGCAGCCGCCGUAA